rnacentral:rRNA from 1 species
AUUGAAAGCUGGCGGCAGGCUUAACACAUGCAAGUCGAACGAGUGGCGGACGGGUGAGUAAUGCUUGGGAAUCUAGCUUAUGGAGGGGGAUAACUACGGGAAACUGUAGCUAAUACCGCGUACCAUAGGAUGAGCCCAAGUGGGAUUAGGUAGUGUGUGAGGUAAAGGCUCCCCAAGCCGACGAUCUCUAGCUGGUCUGAGAGGAUGACCGCCCAAACGAGUACUGAGACACGGCCCAAACUCAUACGGGAGGCAGAAGUGGGGAAUAUUUCGCAAUGGGGGCAACCUGACGCAGCCAAGCCGCGUGAAUGAAGAAGGCCUUCGGGUUGUAAAGGUCUUUCGGUAGCGAUGCGUUAACUACAGAAGAAGCACCGGCUAACUCCGUGCCAGCAGCCGCGGUAAUUC